rnacentral:rRNA from 1 species
UGGGGAAUAUUGCACAAUGGGCGCAAGCCUGAUGCAGCAACGCCGCGUGAGGGAUGACGGCCUUCGGGUUGUAAACCUCUUUUAGCAGGGAAGAAGCGAAAGUGACGGUACCUGCAGAAAAAGCGCCGGCUAACUACGUGCCAGCAGCCGCGGUAAUACGUAGGGCGCAAGCGUUAUCCGGAAUUAUUGGGCGUAAAGAGCUCGUAGGCGGUUUGUCGCGUCUGCUGUGAAAUCCUGAGGCUCAACCUCGGGUCUGCAGUGGGUACGGGCAGACUAGAGUGCGGUAGGGGAGAUUGGAAUUCCUGGUGUAGCGGUGGAAUGCGCAGAUAUCAGGAGGAACACCGAUGGCGAAGGCAGAUCUCUGGGCCGUAACUGACGCUGAGGAGCGAAAAGGGUGGGGAGCAAAACAGGCUUAGAAUGACCCUGGUAGUCCACCCCGUAAACGUUGGGAACUAGUUGUGGGGUCCAUUCCACGGAUUCCGUGACGCAGCUAACGCAUUAAGUUCCCCGCCUGGGGAGUACGGCCGCAAGGCUAAAACU